CCUACGGGAGGCAGCAGUGAGGAAUAUUGGUCAAUGGACGCGAGCCUGAACCAGCCAAGUAGCGUGCAGGAUGACUGCCCUACGGGUUGUAAACUUCUUUUAUAAAGGGAUAAAGUGAGGCACGUGUGCCUUUUUGUAUGUACUUUAUGAAUAAGGAUCGGCUAACUCCGUGCCAGCAGCCGCGGUAAUACGGAGGAUCCGAGCGUUAUCCGGAUUUAUUGGGUUUAAAGGGAGCGUAGAUGGGUUGUUAAGUCAGUUGUGAAAGUUUGAGGCUCAACCGUAAAAUUGCAAUUGAUACUGGCAGUCUUGAGUACAGUUGAGGUAGGCGGAAUGUGUGGUGUAGCGGUGAAAUGCUUAGAGAUCACGAAGAACUCCGAUUGCGAAGGCAGCUUACUAAACUGCCACUGACAUUGAUGCUCGAAAGUGUGGGUAGCAAACAGGAUUAGAUACCCUGGUAGUC
rnacentral:rRNA from 1 species